UCCUGCCCUUCUUUUAUUCUACUCUAUAUUACAGCCAACCACAUUUCCAGGCUCCCUUGUCCUCUGCUAUCUAGAUCUGUAUGCAAGAAGAAAUGAAAAAGAUGAACAGGCAAAGGCCAGGACUACCUACCACAACUCAGGAGUUGCCUUGGGAUCCACAAAGAAGUUGAGGUGGUCCAGUACUCAUAAGGCAACAAACUUCAAAGGAGAGUCAAAUGUACAUUUUCAAAACAAGAGUACUGAAAAACAUUGAAAUAAACACACAAAAAGAGAUUCAAAUGUACAUCUUAAAAGGAGGAGGAGAUUCUUUGAAGAAGUAGGGGAAUAUGACGUUGAAAGUCUCUGAAGAGGUUAUGAUAGUUGUUUAAGGGAGUAGAACAUUAAAACAUUUUUGUCUGUUCAAUCUUAAUUUUUAAAAGUGAUAGCAUAGAGUUUGGCCAGUUAUGGAGGGGCUGAUUUCAUCACUGUCAAUGAGCAGUAAACUUUCUUAGUCUUUUAUUUGGGAAAUGUAUCUAUUUUACUUUCACUUUUGAAUGAGACUUAGCUGAUGCAAUGGACUGAAUUGUGUUCCUCCAGAAUUUGUAUGUUGAAGCUCUAAUGGCAAAUGUGACUGUAUUUGGAGGCAGGGCCUUUAAAGAGGUAAUUAAGGUUAACUAAGGUCAUAAGGAUGGGGCCUAACCCAAUAUCACUGUCCUUAUAAGAAGAGACACCUGGGAUGCGUUUGCACAGAGAAAAGGCCCCAGGAAGACACUGCAAGAAGAGGGUGCUCUUCAAGUGAAGGAGAAACCAAACCUACUAACACUUUGAUCUUUGACUUCUGGGCUCCAUAACUGUCAAAAAUAAGCUUCUGUUAUUUAAGCCACCUAGUUUGAGGUAUUUUGUUAUGGCGGCCCUAGAAAACCAAAUACAGCUGGGUAUAGAAUUCUAGGUUGAUGAUUUUGCUUUUAUAGUAUUUUUAUAGUAUUUUGAGAUGUGUGUCU